GAACCUUUUGGGUUUCCCUAGAGCGGGGAACGGGUGAGUAAACACGUGAACAAUCUGUCCCUACAUUCCGGGAUAAUUGGAAGAAAUUUCCUUGUAAUACGGGCGAGGAUCAUUGAAAGGCAUCUUUUAGUGAGGGAACACGCAAGUGGUGCGGGGAGGAGUUCGCGGCCUAUCAGGUAGUUGGUGAGGUAAUGGCUCACCAAGCCUACGACGGGUAGCUGGUCUGAGAGGAUGGUCAGCCACAUUGGAACUGAGACACUGUCCAGACUCCUACGGGAGGCUGCAGUCGAGAAUCUUGGGCAAUGCACGAAAGUGUGACCCAGCGACGCCGCGUGAAGGAUGAAGGCCCUCUGGGUCGUAAACUUCUUUUAAGGGGGAAGAAUAAAUGACGGUACCCCUUGAAUAAGCCACGGCUAACUACGUGCCAGCAGCCGCGGUAAUACGUAGGUGGCAAGCGUUGUCCGGAUUUACUGGGCGUAAAGCGAACGCAGGCGGACUGUUAAGUAGGAAGUGAAAGGUUGGAGCUCAACUCUAACACUGCUCCCUAUACUGGCAGUCUUGAGUGGCGGAGAGGGAGAUGGAACGACACGUGUAGCGGUGAAAUGCGUUGAUAUGUGUCGGAACACCAAUGGCGAAAGCAAUCUCCUGGACGCAAACUGACGCUGAGGUUCGAAAGCCAAGGUAGCAAACAGGAUUAGAUACCCUGGUAGUCUUGGCCAUAAACGAUGUUCACUAGGUGUUGGGGCUUUGCCUCGGUGCCGCAGCUAACGCAUUAAGUGAACCGCCC
rnacentral:rRNA from 1 species